AUUGAACGCUGGCGGCAUGCCUUACACAUGCAAGUCGAACGGUAACAGGUCUUCGGAUGCUGACGAGUGGCGAACGGGUGAGUAAUACAUCGGAACGUGCCCGAUCGUGGGGGAUAACGAGGCGAAAGCUUUGCUGAUACCGCAUACGAUCUACGGAUGAAAGCGGGGGAUCUUCGGACCUCGCGCGGACGGAGCGGCCGAUGGCAGAUUAGGUAGUUGGUGGGAUAAAAGCUUACCAAGCCGACGAUCUGGAGCUGGUCUGAGGGGAUGAUCAGCCACACUGGGACUGAGACACGGCCCAGACUCCUACGGGAGGCAGCAGUGGGGAAUUUUGGACAAUGGGCGAAAGCCUGAUCCAGCCAUGCCGCGUGCAGGAUGAAGGCCUUCGGGUUGUAAACUGCUUUUGUACGGAACGAAAAGCCUCUUUCUAAUAAAGAGGGGUCAUGACGGUACCGUAAGAAUAAGCACCGGCUAACUACGUGCCAGCCGCCGCCGUAA
rnacentral:rRNA from 1 species